GAUGAACGCUGGCGGCGUGCCUAAUACAUGCAAGUCGAGCGAAUGGAUUAAGAGCUUGCUCUUAUGAAGUUAGCGGCGGACGGGUGAGUAACACGUGGGUAACCUGCCCAUAAGACUGGGAUAACUCCGGGAAACCGGGGCUAAUACCGGGUAGCAUUUUGAACCGCAUGGUUCGAAAUUGAAAGGCGGCUUCGGCUGUCACUUAUGGAUGAACCCGCGUCGCAUUAGCUAGUUGGUGAGGUAACGGCUCACCAAGGCAACGAUGCGUAGCCGACCUGAGAGGGUGAUCGGCCACACUGGGACUGAGACACGGCCCAGACUCCUACGGGAGGCAGCAGUAGGGAAUCUUCCGCAAUGGACGAAAGUCUGACGGAGCAACGCCGCGUGAGUGAUGAAGGCUUUCGGGUCGUAAAACUCUGUUGUUAGGGAAGAACAAGUGCUAGUUGAAUAAGCUGACACCUUGACGGUACCUAACCAGAAAGCCACGGCUAACUACGUGCCAGCCGCCGCGGUAA
rnacentral:rRNA from 1 species